rnacentral:tRNA from 1 species
GGAUUCUGACUGUCGGAGCCAAUUGUCUUUUAACCAAUUGGUCGUAGGUUCGAAUCCUACACGACCCACCA